rnacentral:tRNA from 1 species
UGGGGUUGCAUCUCAGUGGUAGAGUACUUGCCUAGCGAGUGUGAGACCCUGGGUUUGAUCCCCAGAAUUGCAA